CAGCUGCAUCAGAUUGCGCCCUGUGCCCUGUUGGCAUGUACCCAUGCUUCCUGACUAAGGUUGGCGUCCCUGGAGUGAACUACAACCUGGGACUUCCAGAGGCGGCUAUGGUUAGGCAGGGAGCAGCCAGUGUUCUGGAGUAGACCCAGACAUAAACCUAAUUCUUGAUUUGAGAACAGUGGCUCCCUCAAACUGGCUUUAUAAUGUGUUACCAGCCGGGUGAGUCAGCCAUAGAGGGGCCUGACAACCCUCCUGCCCUGCAGAUUCUUUGACUCCUUCUUUUCUUUCUGUUGCUUUUGUUUGCCUAGUUGAGACAGGACCUCACUAUGAAGCCCAGGCUAGGCUUGAGUGAGAUCCCUCUGCCUCAGCCCUGCAGGGUGCUGGAUCCGGGAAUGUGCAGGCUCCUUACGGUUUGGAAGCAGGAAUUCUGCAGGGCUCAGAGCCGCAGGUGUUCCAUCCACCCUUCAGCAGCUAAGCAGAGCUGCACUUCCUGUGGAUGAGACCCAGAGAAAUGAGAAGCUCAAUUGGGCAGCAAGUGUCAAUCACCUACUGAAUGUCACUGCUCCUCGAGGCGUCACCAGAACAGACCGUUGUAUGAAUAAGAAUGACGUCUGCGAGCACCCGCCGUGCUCCACUGAUUGUAUGGGAUGCUCCUGGGAUUGGGCCAAGAGGUUCAACUCCAGCACCAGAGGGAGCAGGAUGCCAGGAGAGGCCAGCUUUGCAAACUCCCAAUCCCCCAGGUUCUCAGUGGCGGAAGACUGAGUGUACAGGGACCAAGGUGGCUUGUGGUUGAGCUGAGACCACUGCACUUGGAGCAUCUGUAGCUCCAGACCCCUUCGCUUUCCUGACUCUACGGAUGAGGUGAUUCACGCUUGCUUCCUAUUCUGUCAAGGAUGCUCUUAGCACCCGUAUUAGUCUAUUCUGGCUCCGAGAAGAGCAUGCUGUAGACUGGGUGGCUUCUAAACAACAGACCUUGAUCUCCUGGCUGUGAAGGCUGACAAGUUCAAGAUCAAGAGAUUCAGUGUCUCACAAAGGCCAGCUUCCGAUGACUUCUUCUCAUCAUGUCCUCCCAUGCCCGAGGGACGGAGUCUUCGGGUCUCAUUCACAAGGGCACUAUCCCCAGGGUCUAGCCAGCUCCCAAAGGUCUGCUUCCUGAUCCUAUCACACCAUGGACCAGGAUUGCAACCUUUGAUUGGAGGGUGGGGCGUAAAUAUCCAGUCACUGACAACACCCUUCCAGAGCCCUUAGGAUUCAAAAUGAUAAGCGAAUUCUCCAUCUUGGAACUGAAACCACCUUCUGGAAAGAAAUAUACAGAAAGAGAAAGUAUACUAGGGUCAAGAAGAGAACGUCCCCGCUUUCCCAAAGAUAUACAAGUGGCCAUCUCAGCGGCUCUAGAUUCUAGAUCACAGCACAGUGAAUAUGUUUGCUUAUAAAGAUAUUUUGAUCUUUUAGUUUAUGACUCAAAUGGAUUGCCAGAGUGGGGAUGAGGAGACCCAAAAACAUGUCUAAGGCUCUUAGAACAUCUUUUCAAAUUGCCUUCCAAAUGGGUCAGAUGAAUUUUCAUCUUAUUCGGGAUCGGUACUGGCUGGUUUUGUGUGUCAACUUGACACAAGCUGGAGUUAUCACAGAGAAAGGAGCCUCCCCUGAGGAAAUGCCUUCAUGAGAUCCAGCUGUAGGGCAUUUUCUCAAUUAGUGAUGGGGGGUGGGGUGGGAAGGGCCCCUGGUGGGUGGUGCUAUCCCUGGGCUGGUAGUGCUGGGUUGUAUAAGCAAGCAAGCUGAGCAAGCCAGGGGAAGCAAGCCAGUAAGCAGCACCCCUCCAUGGCCUCUGCAUCAGCUCCUGUCUCCAAGUUCCUGCCCUGUGUGAGUUCCUGUUCUGACUUCCCUUGGUGAUGAACAGCAGUAUGGAAGUGUAAACUGAAUAAACCUUUUCCUCCCC
rnacentral:lncRNA from 1 species